rnacentral:rRNA from 1 species
AGAGUUUGAUCCUGGCUCAGGAUGAUCGCAGGCGGCAUGCCUAAUACAUGCAAGUCGAACGAGGAUCCUUCGGGAUCCUAGUGGCGAACGGGUGAGUAACACGUAGGGAACCUGCCCGCGCACCGGGAAUACGCUCUGGAAACGGAGAACAAAUCCCGAUGUACAGGAAGGAGGCAUCUUCUUUCUGUGAAACAUCCUGUAAGGGAUGGGGCGCGGAUGGACCUGCGGUGCAUUAGUUGGUUGGCGAGGGUAAAGGCCCACCAAGACGAUGAUGCAUAGCCGGCCUGAGAGGGCGGACGGCCACAUUGGGACUGAUACACGGCCCAGACUCCUGCGGGAGGCAGCAGUAGGGAAUUUUCGUCAAUGGGCGCAAGCCUGAACGAGCGAUGCCGCGUGAGUGAAAAAAGCCUUCGGGUCGUAAAGCUCUGUGUGCGGGGGAAAAAAGGCAUCUGCACGAAAUGGUACAUGACAGAUGGUGCCCCGCCAGAAAGUCACGGCUAACUACGUGCCAGCAGCCGCGGUAAUACGUAGGUGGCGAGCGUUAUCCGGAAUGAUUGGGCGUAAAGGGUGCG